rnacentral:lncRNA from 1 species
GAGGAAUACUAUUAUACUUAUAAACAAAUUUUCUGUUUCGAUUCGGCACUGAAUGGUUUAGUUGUGUACAAAAAAUAUAGAUCCUGUAAGUUUCGGUGCGGGGGUCGUUGCAGGCUGUGUUAUAACAGCUGGUGGGGUAGCUCUAUGGCAUUAUAAAGAGCAGAUUGGUAAAUUAUUAACGGACCUAACGAAGUGGGUAAACAUGAAGAUAAAGUCAUUGGCAAGAUACGCACAAGAAAUCUUCAGAGCCGUUGCAGAAACGACAAGGCAACUCGUGUUAUCAGCUUAUCAAUCCCUGAGCAACCGAUGGAAUUCAAUUUCCCCAGAAAACCGAAGAAGGAUAUUAGACGCUACGGGUUGUGUUGUAAACGCAGGUAUAAAUGCAGCCAUUGGAAAUGCUGAAAAUCAAAUCAGAAUUAGAUUUCCAAAUCCAGACGCACCUGAAAGGCAAGUUUUAGAAGACAUGGCUUCGGAAAUGAGGCGAUUUCAAAUUGAGCAUGGACAGUCAAUGACCAGAUAUCUAACAUAGCUUGAUUGAGCAAAGGCUUAUACAAAACUUAAUAUUCGACUAAUCACCAUGAAAUUAUGUCAUCUUUUGUCAAAACAAAUACUAGUAUGAUAUAUACAUAAAAACAAAUAUGAUAUAUACAUAAAACAGUGUAUGAUCAACAUAAAAGAGAUGAGCAUUCCUUUUGUUUGUAUAAAAAGUAUUUUAAGACAUAAUAUGUACAUACAGUUUAGGGCUUAUAAUCACUAGGUUUCGCUUACUGCUGUUUACAUAUCUGCAUUUGUGUACGAUUUGAAACAUUAAUCAUUUAUUUCUAUGUAGACAACAUGAUAUCUUAAAAUUCUAGUAUGAGAGGAUCACUAUCAAAAUAAAUAUUAUAUAUGUGUAUGUUUAAAUUGAAAUUUGCAUGAUAUCAAUUAACUUAUGUGUGUAUUAUGAAAAUGGAUUAAUUUCAUAAAACUCUUGUAUUGUAUUGUAUUCGUAAUAGGCUACUUGCUGUAGAAUAUUUAGUUACUUUUAUGUACUUAUCUCUUGAUUUCUUUUGAUUAUGAAGAAAAACAUGCAAACUCUUUAAAAGAUGGUCAUUUUGGUCAUUAAUAUAACAUAAAUAUUAUGUUUAUCUUGCUACAUUUGUUUGCAGUAAAAACUGAUCUAGCCCGCCCGAUUAGCUCAAUAGGGAGAGCACAGAUCUACGGAUCGCGGGGUCGUGAGUUUGAGCCCUAUGCGAGGCGUAUUUUCUCCGUGGCGAUUUAAUAAAGACAUUGUCUCUGAAAUUAUUCGUCCUUUACCUCUGAUUCAUGUGGGGAAGUUGGCAGUUACUUGCGGAGAACAGGUUUGUACUGGUUCAGAAUCCAGGGACACUGGUUAGGUUAGCUGCCCGCCGUUAGAUAACUGAAAUACUAUUGAAAAACGGCGUCACACUCAAAACAAAGAAACAAAAAAGCCAGAUCUUGGGUUGGAUAAUAUUUUAGACACUAGUAUCAUAUGGGGAUUAACAACCACGGCAGCUACACUAAAUAUAAAGGAUAACACACAAAAAAUAAAACAAAACAUUAAAAUUUUCUACUUUCAAGUGAAUAUUUUAUAACCAUGGGUUGGAACAGGAAGAUAUUGUAAUUAUUUCAGAUAAGUAGAAUGAAAUAAAUAUAUUAUUUAUCAAACGAAAUAAAUUGAUGCAGUGAGUAUUGAUUACUCAAGGACAUAAAUUUACUGGAUUAGACAUAAUCGAUUAAUCAAUAAACGAGAUUGACUUUUUAAAUCUCCCGUGAAUGUUUCCGCUAUCUUCGACAAUAUCCGACAAUAAUCGUCGAUUUUCACCGAGCAUUUGUUCGGUUAUUGAAUAACCAAUGAGUGAUCAGUAAAUCAACACCCCGCCUUUCAUGAAGCUCCGUAAUCAGUAUUUGUCUUUUUUUUUUUUUUUGAAAGAUUGAAUGUAACGCUGAAAAAUUCUUUUCAAAUAAAGUAAAUUUGUAUUUAUUUACAUAAAAUUAGUAAAAAUAUACGGCAUUAAUCUACUAAAUAUGUAACUGCUAAAUUCAGGAUCGGUUGAAAGAUACGUAUGCCGUAUUUGCAAAAUAGACAAAAACAUAGUGGUAAUGUAAAGCUUUAUUACCAAUUAAAAACCAAGAAAAAAAUAUGUAUUACAUAUGUUGGCAGAUAAGUCAAGUUGGUCUGCAUUGUUUUUAUCUUGCUGUACUGCGAACAUUUUUAUCUUGCUGUACUGCGAACAUUUUACGCAUUUUAAUUUUCGCCAUUUUUGAUAAUUUUUGUUCUUUCAUUCGGCUCAGUUUUUCACUCGAAAUUUUCAGUCGAUCCCCACCCCUACGCCAUAAAAACAUAUAUAAAUUCUCAUUUUGAAACGAAAUAGUAAUAUAUUUAGAAGCUGUUCAAUAUAUUUCGGAGCAACUUUCACUGCUUCGCUAGACUUCGGUAAUAGCCGAUUUUUUUACAAUAUCCUGCAGUUUCAAGCGUGUCUAUGCGAUAAACUCACUUUAUUUCGCAAGAGAAUCAGAAUAAGUAGAAAGAAGCAUAUCCUCGUAGAUAUUUACGUCCUUGAUAUAACGUUUACUACUUACAGAAAUUUAGAACUAAAAUUUAGUUGUGAAAAAAAUAAAAAUAAUGAAAUUGCAUGGAAAAUGCUUACAAAUACAAAUGAUCAAAAGAAUAAAAUAUUCAAGAAGAUUGUUUGGAAUCAUAGAAUGCAACCAAGCAAAAUAAAACGUUUUAUGGAGCCUGACCAUGAGAGGAAACGCAACUCAAACACACUAUCAUUUUACUGCAGAAAACAAACUGCUUCAUUUGAAAAUACCUCCCAAAUUAAUAUCUCACAUAAUUCAUAGUUCUAGUUGCAGCUGCUCGUUAUAGCUACAGUAACACAAAGAUUAAUUUAGAUCAUUUUUUGUUGACCACUUGCAUACCCUCGUUAGGUUCGGGGAAAUCCUGUCUCCAAAGUACUUCAUAAAAUCCUCCAUCCAAGCCUUUUGUAGUUCGUCAAUUGCCCAUACUGUCUUUCCGAAAUAUACAGCACAAAUGGUUCUUGUAGCAGUUAACUUCUGUUUAUUCUGUUUAUUUAUAGGUUCUGAUCUCACCGUCACACAUGCAUUGGGUCGACUUGGCAACAUAUCUAGUUUUUUUAACCAAUCUUAAAAGAUAAAUACUACUAAAAUUUCUCUGUUACUAUGACGCUAACAUCAUAUUCCGAUUAUCAGACCCGUGACAUUGCCGUGACGGUAAUAGAAAAAAACUGUGACAGUCCGUGAUAAAUGACCGUCAAGGGUCUUAGUAGAUUUGCGUAUUAUUGGAGCAGCAUGACGGAAACACUGAUAAUUUAUACAAAAACACAUACGUGUUUUUCAAUGUAACCCAUGUCAAAUAUUGGGAAAUUGUAUUCAAAGAACGAUACUUUGAAAAGACCU